AUGAUGGACUAUAGGACAGGACUGCUACUUUUAACUAUCUACUGGGCAGGUGCCUGGAGCCCACAGAUUGACCUGUACAACCUCUGGAUUCUCACUCAGCAGCAUCUGGAUGUGCUGGAUCAGACAGGCUGGAAAGAUACCGGAGAGGGUGUUGAUGGUCAGACUCUGACAGAAUCGGAACCAGUGGUUAAAAAGCCUGGAGAAUCCCACAGAUUGACCUGUACAACCUCUGGAUUCACAUUCAGUAGCUAUAGGAUGGUCUGGGUCAGACAGACUCCUGGAAGAGGACUGGAGUGGAUUGCUUAUAUAAGCACAGCUAGUAUUCCUAUCCAUUACUCCCAGUCAGUCCAGGGUAGAUUCACCAUCUCUAGAGAUGACUCCAGCAGUAAACUCUAUCUACAGAUGAACAGCCUGAAGACUGAGGACACAGCAGUGUAUUACUGUGCCAGAGACACAGUGAGAGACAGUAAUAGGAGACUCAUACAAAAACUACUUCCUCUAUUUACCUCAAAGACUUGGAACAUUCAUUGGUCUUAAUAGCAAUAAUAACAAUUGUCC